UACAGAGGUCUCAAGCGUUUGUUCGGAUUCAUUGGGCGUAAAGGGUGCGUAGGCGGCGCGGUAAGUCGGGUGUGAAAUCUCGGAGCUUAACUCCGAAACUGCAUUCGAUACUGCGGUGCUUGAGGACUGGAGAGGAGACUGGAAUUCAUGGUGUAGCAGUGAAAUGCGUAGAGAUCAUGAGGAAGACCAGUGGCGAAGGCGGGUCUCUGGACAGUUCCUGACGCUGAGGCACGAAAGCCAGGGGAGCAAACGGG
rnacentral:rRNA from 1 species